UACAGAGGUCUCAAGCGUUGUUCGGAUUCAUUGGGCGUAAAGGGUGCGUAGGCGGCGCGGUAAGUCGGGUGUGAAAUCUUGGAGCUUAACUCCGAAACUGCAUUCGAUACUGCCGUGCUUGAGGACUGGAGAGGAGACUGGAAUUUACGGUGUAGCGGUGAAAUGCGUAGAUAUCGUAAGGAAGACCAGUGGCGAAGGCGGGGCUCUGGACAGUUCCUGACGCUGAGGCACGGAGGCCAGGGGAGCAAACGGG
rnacentral:rRNA from 1 species